UAGGGAAUCUUCCGCAAUGGACGCAAGUCUGACGGAGCAACGCCGCGUGAGUGAAGAAGGAUUUCGGUUCGUAAAACUCUGUUGUUAGAGAAGCACAGCGCAUAGAGUAACUGUUAUGCGUGUGACGGUAUCUAACCAGAAAGCCACGGCUAACUACGUUCCAGCAGCCGCGGUAAUACGUAGGGCGCAAGCGUUAUCCGGAAUUAUUUGGCGUAAAGGGCUUGUAGGCGGUUCGUCGCGUCUGGUGUGAAGGCCCAUCGCUUAACGGUGAGUUUGGGCCGGGUACGGGCGGGCUAGAGUGCAGUAGGGGAGACUGGAAUUCUCGGUGUAACGGUGGAAUGUGUAGAUAUCGGGAAGAACACCAAUGGCGAAGGCAGGUCUCUGGGCUGUUACUGACGCUGGGAAGCGAAAGCGUGGGGAGCGAACAGG
rnacentral:rRNA from 1 species